rnacentral:ncRNA from 1 species
UAUCGGCGCGAGGCUUUGACGCACGGCCCGCACCCUGGCCGCCGGGACCGUGCCGAGCGCCUGGCGGGACCGACCGCGCCAUGU